GCUAUCUGUCACUUGGGGAUGGGCCUGCGGCGCNAUNAGCUAGUUGGUGGGGUANCUGGCCCACCAGNGGCGACGAUGCGUAGCCGACCUGAGAGGGUGAACGGCCACACUGGGACUGAGACACGGCCCAGACUCCUACGGGAGGCAGCAGUAGNGGAAUCUUCCGCGAUGGGCGAAAGCCUGACGGAGCAACGCCGCGUGAGUGAUGAAGGUUUUCGGAUCGUAAAGCUCUGUUGCCAAGGAAGAACGUCUCAUAGAGUAACUGCUAUGAAAGUGACGGUACUUGANAAGAAAGCCCCGGCUAACUACGUGCCAGCAGCCGCGGUAAUACGUAGGGGGCAAGCGUUGUCCGGAAUCAUUGGGCGUAAAGCGCGC
rnacentral:rRNA from 1 species